CAACCAUGGUUCCAAAUUUUCAAGCGAUAUAAAUGAAAUAAGGCUGAGGGUGAUCACAAUGUUUGGUACUACUGUACGUCUAGUUUCCAUGAUCAAGUUGGUCUGGUGCAUCAACUGCAUAAUACUUUGGAAUGUGAUAAUUAACAUCCUUCCCAUCUAGUUUGAUAUGCUUUGAAAGAAAGUAUUCGUAGUAUGCAGUUGACCACGUGCCUUACAUGUGUAGAACCACUCCUAUCAAAUUAUAUUCUUUUCAUUUUCUUCAAUUCUCUACUAAUCCUUGUGAGUCCAUACGAGGCCCCUUCAUACGAGGCUAAAGAUAGCAUGCUACGAGCUAGAAAGUGCCUCUCAUACAAAUGAAUGGUUUCAUCUACCAAGUCCAUCAGGGUCAUGGCAUAUUCGAUCACAUGUGUGUUUUAUAGCCUACCUGCUACUACUACGCCCUUAUAUACAUCCCAACC
rnacentral:lncRNA from 1 species